rnacentral:snRNA from 1 species
GUCAGGUACUGUGUCUCAGAUG